rnacentral:rRNA from 1 species
GACGGUAGGGCGCGAGCGUUGUCCGGAUUUAUUGGGCGUAAAGAGCUCGUAGGCGGCUUGUCGCGUCGACUGUGAAAACUCGGGGCUCAACUCCGAGCUUGCAGUCGAUACGGGCAGGCUAGAGUUCGGUAGGGGAGACUGGAAUUCCUGGUGUAGCGGUGAAAUGCGCAGAUAUCAGGAGGAACACCGGUGGCGAAGGCGGGUCUCUGGGCCGAUACUGACGCUGAGGAGCGAAAGCGUGGGGAGCGAACAGG